UACGAAGGGUGCAAGCGUUAAUCGGAAUUACUGGGCGUAAAGCGUGCGUAGGCGGUUGGCUAAGUCAGAUGUGAAAGCCCUGGGCUCAACCUGGGAAUGGCAUUUGAAACUGGCCGGCUAGAGUGUGAUAGAGGAUGGCGGAAUUCCCGGUGUAGCGGUGAAAUGCGUAGAGAUCGGGAGGAACAUCCGUGGCGAAGGCGGCCAUCUGGAUCAACACUGACGCUGAGGCACGAAAGCGUGGGAGCAACAGGG
rnacentral:rRNA from 1 species